GUGAACAUUUGUACCUCAUGUCUAAUGUGAUUGGAUUGUUCAGUGGACGUCACUUUCAGGUAUUUAUCUUUUGUAGGAGGUUUUCUCCUUCCCUUGUUACUUUCAGACUUUGAAUCUGCAAAUUCUUCAAUGUAUCUUCGAGUAGGCUUACGCAAUCUCCUCUCCCUUGAACAACUGGCAAGUUCGUUUGCCACAAUAUCACCCUUCACAUUUUCAUCAGAUAAAUCGCCAUUUUCUAUAUAGUUUUCAUUAGUAUUGAACUUAUGGAUAUUUCUAUUAUCA
rnacentral:misc_RNA from 1 species